rnacentral:rRNA from 1 species
CCUACGGGUUGCAGCAGUGGGGAAUAUUGCACAAUGGGCGCAAGCCUGAUGCAGCCAUGCCGCGUGUGUGAAGAAGGCCUUCGGGUUGUAAAGCACUUUCAGCGGGGAGGAAGGCGGUGAGGUUAAUGACCUCAUCGAUUGACGUUACCCGCAGAAGAAGCACCGGCUAACUCCGUGCCAGCAGCCGCGGUAAUACGGAGGGUGCAAGCGUUAAUCGGAAUUACUGGGCGUAAAGCGCACGCAGGCGGUCUGUCAAGUCGGAUGUGAAAUCCCCGGGCUCAACCUGGGAACUGCAUUCGAAACUGGCAGGCCAGAGUCUUGUAGAGGGGGGUAGAAUUCCAGGUGUAGCGGUGAAAUGCGUAGAGAUCUGGAGGAAUACCGGUGGCGAAGGCGGCCCCCCGGACAAAGACUGACGCUCAGGUGCGAAAGCGUGGGGAGCAAACAGGAUUAGAUACCCUUGUAGUC